CCGGCAUGUCUAGUAUAGCAACAUACUGUGAAACUGCGAACGGCUCAUUAAAUCAGUUAUCGUUUAUUUGAUAGUGCCCAUACCACUUGGAUAACCGUGGUAAUUCUAGAGCUAAUACAUGCAUCAAGCCCCGACUUCGGAAGGGGUGUGUUUAUUAGAUAAAAAACCAACGCCCUUCGGGGCUGCUUGGUGAUUCAGAAUAACGCAACGAAUCGCAUGGCCUUGCGCCGGCGAUGGUUCAAUCAAAUUUCUGCCCUAUCAACUUUCGAUUGUAGUUUAGUGGACUACAAUGGUUUCAACGGGUAACGGGGAAUUAGGGUUCGAUUCCGGAGAGGGAGCCUGAGAAACGGCUACCACAUCCAAGGAAGGCAGCAGGCGCGCAAAUUGUCCAAUCCCAACACGGGGAGACAGUGACAAAAAAUAGGGAGCCAGGGCUCUUUAGGGUCUUGGCAUUCCAAUGAGUACAAUACAAAUCUCUUAACGAGGAACAAUUGGAGGGCAAGUCUGGUGCCAGCAGCCGCGGUAAUUCCAGCUCCAAUAGCGUAUAUUAAAGUUGUUGCAGUUAAAAAGCUCGUAGUUGGCCCUUGGAGCCUGGCCGACCGGUCCGCCUCACCGCGUGCACUGGUUCGGCCGGGCCCUUCCUUCUGCAGAACGGCAUGCCCUUCACUGGGCGUGUCCGGGAAGCAGGACUUUUACUUUGAAAAAAUUAGAGUGUUCAAAGCAGGCCUUUGCUCGCAUACAUUAGCAUGGAAUAAUGGAAUACGACGGGGCUCCUAUUUUGUUGGUUUCUAGGGGUUCCGUAAUGAUUAAUAGGGACAGUUGGGGGCAUCCGUAUUUCAGUGGCUAGAGGUGAAAUUCUUGGAUUCACUGAAGACGAACUAUUGCGAAAGCAUUUGCCAAAGAUGUUUUCAUUAAUCAGUCGAACGAAAGUUAAGGGGAUCGAAGACGAUCAGAUACCGUCGUAGUCGUUAACCAUAAACUAUGCCGACUAGGGAUCGGGCGGUGUUAUUGUAUUGACCCGCUCGGCACCUUUCGAGAAAUCAAAGUGUUUGGGUUCUGGGGGGAGUAUGGUCGCAAGGCUGAAACUUAAAGAAAUUGACGGAAGGGCACCACCAGGAGUGGAGCCUGCGGCUUAAUUUGACUCAACACGGGGAAACUCACCAGGUCCAGAUACACGUAGGAUUGACAGAUUGAGAGCUCUUUCUUGAUUGUGUAGUUGGUGGUGCAUGGCCGUUCUUAGUUGGUGGAGUGAUUUGUCUGCUUAAUUGCGAUAACGAACGAGACCUUCAUCGUUAACUAGCCCGGCCCGCCUUGGCGGGUCGCCGGCUUCUUAGCGAGACUUUUGGCUUAAGCCAAAGGAAGUUGGAGGCAAUAACAGGUCUGUGAUGCCCUUAGAUGUUCUGGGCUGCACGCGCGCUACACUGACAGAGGCAACGAGUGUCUCCCUUGGCCGAAAGGUCUGGGUAAUCUUGUUAAACUCUGUCGUGCUGGGGAUAGAGCAUUGCAAUUAUUGCUCUUCAACGAGGAAUGCCUAGUAAGCGCGUGUCAUCAGCACGCGUUGAUUACGUCCCUGCCCUUUGUACACACCGCCCGUCGCUACUACCGAUUGAAUGGCUCAGUGAGGUCUCCGGACUGGCUCAGGGAGGUUGGCAACGACCACCCAGGGCCGGGAAGCUGAUCA
rnacentral:rRNA from 1 species